GAAUAAGCACCGGCUAACUACGUGCCAGCAGCCGCGGUAAUACGUAGGGUGCAAGCGUUAUCCGGAAUUAUUGGGCGUAAAGGGCUCGUAGGCGGUUCGUCGCGUCCGGUGUGAAAGUCCAUCGCUUAACGGUGGAUCCGCGCCGGGUACGGGCGGGCUUGAGUGCGGUAGGGGAGACUGGAAUUCCCGGUGUAACGGUGGAAUGUGUAGAUAUCGGGAAGAACACCAAUGGCGAAGGCAGGUCUCUGGGCCGUCACUGACGCUGAGGAGCGAAAGCGUGGGGAGCGAACAGGAUUAGAUACCCUGGUAGUCCACGCCGUAAACGGUGGAUGCUGGAUGUGGGGACCAUUCCACGGUCUCCGUGUCGGAGCCAACGCGUUAAGCAUCCCGCCUGGGGAGUACGGCCGCAAGGCUAAAACUCAAAGAAAUUGACGGGGGCCCGCACAAGCGGCGGAGCAUGCGGAUUAAUUCGAUGCAACGCGAAGAACCUUACCUGGGCUUGACAUGUUCCCGACAGCCGUAGAGAUACGGUCUCCCUUCGGGGCGGGUUCACAGGUGGUGCAUGGUCGUCGUCAGCUCGUGUCGUGAGAUGUUGGGUUAAGUCCCGCAACGAGCGCAACCCUCGCCCUGUGUUGCCAGCACGUCGUGGUGGGAACUCACGGGGGACCGCCGGGGUCAACUCGGAGGAAGGUGGGGAUGACGUCAGAUCAUCAUGCCCCUUACGUCCAGGGCUUCACGCAUGCUACAAUGGCCGGUACAACGGGAUGCGACACUGUGAGGUGGAGCGGAUCCCUUAAAACCGGUCUCAGUUCGGAUUGGAGUCUGCAACCCGACUCCAUGAAGGCGGAGUCGCUAGUAAUCGCGGAUCAGCAACGCCGCGGUGAAUGCGUUCCCGGGCCUUGUACACACCGCCCGUCAAGUCAUGAAAGUGGGUAGCACCCGAAGCCGGUGGCCCAACCUUUUUGGGGGGAGCCGUCUAAGGUGAGACUCGUGAUUGGGACUAAGUCGUAACAAGGUAGCCGUACCGGAAGGUGCGGCUG
rnacentral:rRNA from 1 species